rnacentral:rRNA from 1 species
UACGUAGGGUGCAAGCGUUAAUCGGAAUUACUGGGCGAAAGCGUGCGCAGGCGGUCUGUCAAGUCGGAUGUGAAAUCCCCGGGCUCAACCUGGGAACUGCAUUCGAAACUGGCGGCUAGAGUCUUGUAGAGGGGGUAGAAUUCCAGGUGUAGCGGUGAAAUGCGUAGAGAUCUGGAGGAAUACCGGUGGCGAAGGCGGCCCCUGGACAAAGACUGACGUCAGGUGCGAAAGCGUGGGGAGC